UACGUAGGUGGCAAGCGUUAUCCAGAUUUAUUGGGCGUAAAGGGAACGCAGGCGGUCUUUUAAGUCUGAUGUGAAAGCCUUCGGCUUAACCGGAGUAGUGCAUUGGAAACUGGGAGACUUGAGUGCAGAAGAGGAGAGUGGAACUCCAUGUGUAGCGGUGAAAUGCGUAGAUAUAUGGAAGAACACCAGUGGCGAAAGCGGCUCUCUGGUCUGUAACUGACGCUGAGGUUCGAAAGCGUGGGUAGCAAACAGG
rnacentral:rRNA from 1 species